GUUUCUUUUUGUCGGUUAAUGCUAUUGUUUAUGUUAGUAGAUUCCGCAGCAGCUCCUUUGUGGACUUCUGUGCAAGCAACAGGAAAGAUUCG
rnacentral:tRNA from 1 species